AGGAAUAUCAUUUUUUGUCAGUGAUCUCUCUCAUGAUCAUCAAAGUAAGUUCCCAUAUAUACACAUUUUUCAUAUGAACCUACCAAAUGUGGCAUCUGUUGUGCCUGGAAUAUCUGUCACUAUCCUGCAGCAAAAAGAAUGUUUGCAACAAAAUUAUUGACUGUUAGAUACCUAUGAAUGAAUGAAUGGUUACUGGUUGUUUGCCUUAUAUGUAGUUCUGUAAUGUUUGUUUGAGACUUCGAGAUUUAUUCACCCUUUUAGAUUGUUUUGAUUUUAGGGUGGAUGGGAUUAUGGUGGAACAAGCUACUUUUGCAGAAUACAAAGGCAUGUGUGUACCUUCUUCAUGUGAUGUAAGUAUUUGUUAUUACCUUCCUGGCUGUCCAUAGUUUGAUGUGAUGAAAGGAAUGCAUAUAUCUUGCAAAACUUCAAACUUGAUAAUAAAAUACACAGACAUCUAACGUGAAUAUCAGAUGGAUAACCAGUACAUAACUUUUAAAGAGGUUAAGUUAUUAAGAGAAACCGGUAUAACAAUAUAUGUGGGGUGGGUGUGGUGUGUUAUUUAUGUAAUAAAUGACUACUUAAGUUAGUUAAUUUUUAUAUUAAGUACCAGUGCAAGUGCUCUCUCAGAUAAGGGUCACUAGGGCCAGGAACAUCAGGGUCAGUCAUGAUCUGCACCGAAAAAGGGGGACAUUUGCUUAAUGAUUCAGUAUUUGUAAAGAAAACUCCAAUAAAAGAGACAUACCGUGUGACCAUGAUUACAGAAAAUAACAAAGAAACACACUGGCAACAGCUUAAGUUUUUUCUCUUUUUUUUUCCCCAAAAAAAUCUUGUUCUUUAAAGAAGAAAAGGAAUAAGAAGAGAAGAGAUAAAAGAAAUAUAUAUACCAGUGUAAAGAAGGACCUCAUAUCACCACCCUCAAUCUCAACCUUGGGCUUGGUGUUGACAGUGGAAGGGAAGAGCUCAUGGCCAUUGUAAACUUGCUUCUUGUUGUAACUCACAGUCAUUUUUGUGCUUGUGGUGAAAGAAUCAAGAACUUCUCCUAUGACUCUCCCCACUAUUAGAGGCUCUAAAGGCAUUUUUGCCAUUGUAAGAGGAGGAACAAGGAAGAGGAGGAGCUAAGGAAGUGAGGAAUACAAGUUGAUGAUCUUACUGAGGAAGAAGGGAGUGUGGGCUCCAUAUUUAUAAUGUCUUAAAAGUUUCUUUGAAGGUAGAUCGAGUGUGUUUUGCCCCUCCUUUAAAAUAUGUUGCAAUACAUAAUUUAGAUUUAGCUAGAGAAAAUACAAGUUCUAUAGGAAAAACAAAAAAUGAAAAAAGGCUAGAAAUAAAUCAAGUGCAUCCGUGCAGGUCCUCCCACUACUACUAAUAUAUUGUCUCUUAAUUCGGCUCAUCUCAACAAUUGCCUUUGGGUCUGGGAUGUUUGUGCUGAAAUCACAUUAGUCAUGAUAUGUGACGAGUUAUCCUUUCCACUUUUCCACUCUCUUUCUCUCUCCGCUGGUCAUAAACACAGAAUGGGGCCCUUGGAAUCGGUUCUUAAUUGAUUGGCUGUACACCGGAUGCAUGGAUAUUUCUCAUCCAAUAAAGAAUUUUUUUUAUUCUAUUAGCAACUCUUAUUGUGUACUUUUUUUAUUUAUUUCUAUCCCAUCCUAGUUCUGAAAAAAUUUGUAAAAAAUAUUUAAAAAUAUAAAAUUUCCCAGUUUUUUCUCUCCCAUCAGCUCGAUCAGGUCAAAAAAAGCAUCAUGUGUAAUCCUGUGUGUGUGGGUCCUCCCUCCCCUUUGCAAGUUGUCAAGCUUCUGCCGUUUUAUUAUUAAACUAAAAGCAUAAAAGGCAAAAAUUCUAGGAAAUGCUUCGUUUCUUGAACACCCACAUUUUAGCAUUCUCUUUAGUAUACUACUAGUACCAUGGACGUGCAGAAAUUUCUGUUGUAUGCCUUGCGUAGAGAACCUUCCUUAAUUGUUUGCACACACUAUGCAAAUUUCUGUUUGUGCGUGCGUGAUUCUCCAUUUUCCCUUAGCCAUAGUCUUUCUUUUAAUUUUGUUGGAAGAUUCCUGAUGAAGAGGGCAUAAUUAAAGGAACUCCACCACAAAUUCUCAAGGCUAGACACGCCUAUGGAGUAUAAGCGUUUGAGUGCCUAAGAGGUCAUUUCAGAAUAAAAACUUAACUCUUAGAUGCAGACCAAGUUCCAAUAUUGGUAAAAGAGGAAGGUGGACCUUCUUUAUCAAGAAACCAUUUUGCCCUCUUCAUCUCUGCAUGUGAAAUUUUAUGUUAUUCAAGUUCUGUUUGCAUUCUUUUGUUGGAGAAAAAGGGGUUGAGGUGUGUGUACAUGCACAUCCCGUGCUUAAAAGAUCACAAAUUCUAGUUCCAGAAAAUAAAAAAGCCCUAAUUGGUGGUGGCAUAGUUUAAUUAGUACGUAUAAUUAAUUAAGCAGACAUUCGUUAUAUUGAUUUUUUUAUAUUAUGAUUUGAAAGUGGAAUAUAUAGACCGUUUAUUGCAUAAAUAAAUUGCAGGUUGGUAUCGUUUCACUGUGAAAAUAUAAUAUUAUUUCAAUUUGAGACUUAAUUAUUAAUUAUGUGGCAUAUGGAGAUGAUGAUUUUAAAAUUUGUUGGUCUGAAACUGUUAGUUGCUUAUUUUGGUAUAAGUUGAUAUUCAUAUUUCUAAAUUUGGAUAUUUUAGGUUUUCUUUCCUAAACUUCCAAUAUCAUUAUAAUUAAAAUGCUAAGUUGCUCAUGUUUAUCUUUUAGUUCCUACUUUCUUCGUUUAACUUGAUUAAAAGUUAGUGAUGCCGAUUAAGCAUGGAAUAUUCGUUGGUCAUAUUGGUAUUAUAUACAACAUAAUUUUUUUAAAUAUACUUUUUAUAUUUAGCUUAAUUUUUAUAUACUGUUAGUAUAAAUUUUAUAUGUACCAAAAAUGUAUUUUUUUAAAGUAAUUUUUUAAGAUAAUUUUUUAAAAUAAUUAUUGUAUAAAAUUUAACAAAUUUUCACUAUAUGAUGUUUUAUGAUUAAACAACAGUAUAAAAAAUCCUUAUAUUAUCAGUGUAUUUCAAUUAAAUUUUCAAAUAAUAUAUGCAUACAUACAGAAAAAAUAAAAAGAAAAUUUUGAAGAAGUUAAAUUAAUUAACCCUCGUCUCUUUCUCUCAUACAUGCAAGUUUUGUGAUUUUUUCUAAAAGUCAUGUAUUUUUUUGAAAAUCUUCACAUGAUUUGAUUUUUGUUUUUUUUGUAUUUUGUUUAUUUAUGUAUAACUAUAUAAUUUAAAAUUGUUUCUUAAAAAAUUCAAUAGAGUUGAUCUAGUAGUGAGAGAAUUGGAUGAUAAUUUGCUUGAAGACAUAGAUUUGAUCCUCAUUAAAUUGCCGAGUAUGCAAAAAACAAAAAAUUGCUUCCAAAACUCAUUCAUAUUUUUACUCACAUGACUAGGUUGUUACAGAUUUUCAAACAUAUGAUUAAAUAAGAAAUGUAUUGAAUGAUAUUUGUGUGUGCAUGAGAGAGAUAGUAAGAAAUCAUACCAAAAAACAAUUUUGUAAUAAAAAUGGAAACCAUAGUCUGAUUUUUCAGGUUCAACUUCUUUAUAAUUUAAAGGGGGAAACGUCCAAAAAACUUAUAUCAAGUGACAACAAGUGUCUUAGGUCAUCUUUAACUGUGAUUCUUAUAGGGUUCUUAUAAAUAAGAACUUGUUUUAAUGAGUUUCUACUGUUUGGAACUUGUUCGGGUGACUGCCAAGUGUGGAGUAAUUAGUUCUUAUAAAAUAAAUUCUUAUAUGAAUUGAGUUUUUAACAUUAAAAAAUUAUUUUAUUUAUCAAUCAACUGAAAAUUAUAAAGAUGUGGGAAGGAUUGGAAACAUAUUUUAUGUAUUUGAGAAUUUUACUAUUGAAAUGAAAAAUUUGUGAGAAUUUUUAAAUUUUAUAUGACGGCGUAUAAGUCACUAAAAAAAAAAAAAGAACCUAUGAAUAGAUUCUCCAUCACAUCACAGAUGUUCUUAAAAACUGCACUUCAUCAUGCAAUACAAUAAACAAAAAAGAAAUUAUAAAUUACACCCAGCAGCAGUUCAGCACCUUAUAUUAAAUAAUUUCAUUAACUCUCCUUGUGAACCAACUUUUUGUAAUUUUUUUCAUUGGUUUUUCGGUUCUUUAAGUAUGUUUUCUCCGAAUCAAUUUUGUUAUGUAUUAGAAUUAGACACAUGAUUAGUUGACCCAUUUUUCAGUUUGAUUAGUAAGUCCGGUUCAGUUUUUUUUUUUUACAUUAUUUCUUAAACAUAAUAUAUAUCUUUUAACUAAGAAUGACUAUGUAAUUGGUAGAUAAAUUUGUUUGAAUUAUUAUAAAUUUUUUAGUUUAAUUUCUACGACUAUAAAUAAUAAUAUUUUUAUUGGUUAAUUUUUUUUUUUGCAUGAUGUACUUUUUAUUUAAUAAAUUUUAAUUAUAAUUUUUAACUUUUAAUUAAUAACUAAUAACGUGUCAAAGAUUAUAUUAGUAACCGUAUUUUCAUUUAACAAAAGGGAAUCACAAGACAUUGAUGGACAUUGGGUUCUUUGCCACUUGUCGCAAUACUUCAGUGGAUCUGGUAAUGCCCUCUAACUGCAGUGCUAUUGAGGCCGCAACACGAAUUCAUUUUGCAAUUACUAUCCUGACUUCUGAAUCUGUAGAUUUGGUGAUUGGUAAGCAAUCAUAUGCGUCACAAUCCAGUCAUCAACUUAGGCUUCAAUUCUCUUUGGCUUUCUUGCUUGAAUGCUAGUAAAAUUAAUUGGUUAGAAUUCAGAACAAUUCACAUUUUAGGAAUUAAUGGUGUAUGGUUUCAUAUGUUGUUCCUUCCACUAUCGCGGGCGAAGCACAUAAGGGUGGUUCAUCAAGCUUAUGUUUCUGCCACCUGUCCGUGAUUCUUCUAACAGGAAUCCUCCAUAUUUGAAAAUAAAAGUUGCAAUUUGCAAGAUCUAAAACUGUGUUUGACAAUGUUUUUAAACGAAUAUGAAAAAUGGCUUUGUCUCUCCUCCAGAUCUCAAGCUGGAAGCACGGAGUGUGAUGGAAGGCUCCAGGAGCUCACUGUUUUUCUCCCCCUCUCUUUCUCCCUCCUCCACCUUCUUUUUAUCUCCCGUGACUCUUUAGUUUUAACUUUCCUUCUUAAUUAACAAAACUUUCUCUUUUGGGUUGGAUAGUUUUCUUUUGCUCGUUUCAUACCGCUUCAUCUCAGUUCAUGGUUCUCAAUCACUCAAGUUAGUAAAUCAUUAUGCAAUUCACUUGAAUCUUUCUCCAGUUCCUUUGCAAUCUUCGGCAACACCGAUUUGGGGGUUGUGAUUUGUGGUUCUUGCAUUUAAAUGGAGAUGAUUAGAGAGAAAACAUUCUGUUUUGUGGCGGAUUUUAACUGUGAAUAACCGCAUAUUAUCAACAACAUUAAAUUUACCUUUAAGGACAGGAUUACUGAACCUUUUAGUUAAGAUAAAAAAUUAAAAUAAUUAUUUUAAAAGAUAAAGAAUCAAAAUAUAAAAAAAUAAAAAUAAAAACAAGAACUAAAUAGAUCAUUUGAUUUUAUUGUCAUAUUAAAUUUAUUAUAAUGUAUUAAAAUGUUAUAUUAAUUCAUCUUUUUAAAUAUGUUAAGCAUGUUUACAUAUAUAAAGAGUCAUUUAAGAGUAUUGAAUGAUAAAUUUAUAUGUUAUUUAAAAGUCUUAUUGUAAAAUAUGUUUUUAUGUGAGAUAUGAUGAAUGUUAGGUUCAAUAAUAAAAUUUGUAUAUAUCAUAUAAAUAAAUUAGACUUAUUCUCAUUAAACGGCUAGUAUACUUAUUUUUAUAUUUAUUUCAAUGUUAAAUUAUUACAAAAUAAAUCCUUAUAGGUUAGAUCAAACAUUUAAAAAAAAAUACAUAACAAAAAAACUUGUUAAUUUAUGUUAUAUAUUUUUAACCAAUAUUGUACUCAAACCUAGUAAAACUUAACCUAACAUAUUUCCAACCCUAGAUAUAAAGAAGAGUUAUAGUUCCUUCAAUAAGCAUAGCACUAAUAUGCUAAUUGAUUAUUCUUCUAGUUAUCCUAUAAAUUUAGGACAUAUUUAUCUUUCAAUCAAUUAAAUUAAAUAUUUUUCUUAAUUUUAAUAAGCAUUGCUGGUCAACUUAACUAACUAACAAAUUUUAGAUAAUUAAUAUAAUUAAAAUAGUCCAUUACUACUAUCAUAUAACUACUAAUCCUAACACCCCAUAGCAAGGUGAUAAAUGGCAUAAUGAAUGAUAAUUUCUGCCAGAAUCAAACGACAUUUUCUUGUCUUAUAGCACAAUCUACUCUAGAAUCCCAAAGAUCUGCCUUUGGUUAUCACGACUCUAAAAUGGCUUGUGGCAUCAAAAUCUGGUUAUGGAGUUGAUUCCGCCAAGUCGUGGACCACAACAUUCAAGUGCUUUGUGUUGAAACUCUUCAAAUGUCGCUUCCAAUAUUUUUUGUAGAGCUUAUGGAGGACAUAAUUGAAGGGACCCUAAUUUGUCAGGGUCCAAUUUGGACCAGGUCUAUCCCACAAGAUCUUACGAGAUUAACCAACAAAUCUCAUAUGAAGUUGUUUUGCUUCUUCGACAUCGUACUGCACAAGGAACCAUUUCUCCUCUGCUAUUGGUUUUCUCUUCGGAAAUGACAAAUGUUGAAUGCUCAUGCAAGGUUGCAAACAAAUCACAUUUGCCAAGUAAGAAAGAGAAAAGAGAGGUUUUGGUGAAAUUAGAUUGUGGUUUUGUGGCUAGCUCUUUCGGAUUCGACAUGGUUUUGAUGAAACCAAAAUUAAUUUGCAUGUCUGAACGGAGAAGGGCUAAGAAAAUGGUUUAAGGUUGAAUUAGGUCAGUUGAAAUCUAACGGCCCGGUUAGAUUCAAUCAUCAGUCAUAAGUUCCAUUUCAUUGCCAAAACCCUAUAUGCAGGUAAAUUAUCUAUUUUGCCACAAUUUAGCAAAAAGGGAAAAACAUUCUUAUCUUUUUUUCUUUGUAUCAAACAUUCUUAUAAUUGGACUUCAUUUUGGGUGAAUUUAUCUGCAGAUUUUUUUAUGACUUGAGAUUGAUACAUCCAGUAUCUUUUGACCGAAUUGUUUCAGGACGAGGCAAUAAUAUUGAUUCAUAUAUAUCCAAUAGAACAGUAAAGAGACCUUGGAUAAAGAAGAAGAGCAAGCUGAUCAAGUAUAUGUAUUCACGUCCAAUAUAUUAAGGUCCAACUUCUACGUAGAUUGGUGUUUUCUUUGGACCUAUUGCCUUCGUUGGUACUUCACUGACUGAUUUGUUUUAUUCAACUUGUUUUUAUAAACAAAAUUUUAUUGAAAAAAAGGAAGACAGAACCAGUACACAUGAUGAUUUAUUUAUUCAAGUACUUAUUAGGUUACUUGUCAAUUGUCAUUCUGUAGUAGUGUAGCUGUAGGAUAUACCAAAACUUCUACCUGCAGUUACCAUCGAUGUAGGAUAUAUAUUGGUCGCUAACAAACUAGGUGGGAAGUCAUUGUUCUAUUAUUAUAAGCACAAUUUGGAAGACAACAAUUUGUCUGUUUAGCAUAUGUAGGAGCCACUCUUUCUUUAUUAUUAAUUUGAACAUCCUUUGUGAUGAUUGCAUUCACAAUUCUGUCUUGUGGGAAUGUAGCACCGUUAUGUGCACAUAUGGAAUAGC
rnacentral:lncRNA from 1 species